UGAGGAAUAUUGGUCAAUGGUCGAGAGACUGAACCAGCCAAAUCGCGUGAAGGAAGAAAGUAUUAUGUAUCGUAAACUUCUUUUGCAGGGGAAUAAAAUACAUCACGUGUGGUGUAUUGCAAGUACCUUGCGAAUAAGCAUCGGCUAACUCCGUGCCAGCAGCCGCGGUAAUACGGAGGAUGCGAGCGUUAUCCGGAUUUAUUGGGUUUAAAGGGUGCGUAGGUGGUUUUUUAAGUCAGCGGUGAAAUCUUGACGCUUAACGUCAACAUUGCCGUUGAAACUGGGGAACUUGAGAGCAGACGAGGCAGGCGGAAUUCGUAGUGUAGCGGUGAAAUGCAUAGAUAUUACGAAGAACUCCGAUAGCGCAGGCAGCUUGCCAGGCUGCAGCUGACACUGAAGCACGAAAGUGUGGGAAUCAAACAGGAUUAGAUACCCUGGUAGUCCACACUGUAAACGAUGAUUACUCGCUGUUUGCGAUAUACAGCAAGCGGCCAAGCGAAAGCAUUAAGUAAUCCUACCU
rnacentral:rRNA from 1 species